CAAGAUGAUUGAAAACCCAAACCAAUAGCCCACCUAUCAGUCUCACUCUAAAAACGGCUGGGUUAUUUUUUAACCCAAAAUGCUGGGCUGAGUCUGUUGGGUCAUUUUGUUGGGUUAUUUUAUUAUUUUUUUAAACACUUUUGGGUAGUUUCAAUUUACCAGGUGUUGAGUUAAACCUGCUGGGUUGCAACGCUGGGUUGUUUCAGGCCAGCGCUGGGUUAUUUCGCUGGGUUAUUUAACGCGCCUUGAAGAUGUUUAAAUCGCUCCCCAACUGUCAUUUUGGAAGGACAACGGGGCAAAGCCACUGGUUUCAACUGUUUUAAGAAGAGAACAUGGAUACAUUUGUGAGAGAAAAACUCGUUGAGUGCAGUCUUAUCGAGAAGUCUAACGGUUGGAACAAACAUGGAAUUCCUUAACCGAGCAGAGUCCACAAAACCCCAUCCAUUUGUCAUGACGAUUUGAAAAUGCCAGCAGAUCUAUCAGACAUUGAUCAUAAUCAGUGGACAGGUCACCGUAGCCACCCGGAUUCAGUCUGUAUUCAGAUCAGAUGGUGGAUCAGCACCUAGAGAUGACCUCUACAGCCCUGAAUGUCA
rnacentral:lncRNA from 1 species